GGAAAUAAAACUUGGGAGCUUUCCAGAGAAGUGAGGCACAUUCAUUGAGCUUUUACCCAGAGAACUCACAGCAGCUGUGUUUCUUCCCGAUCAAGACAGAUGAGCAGGGCAUUCACCUAAACAGAAGUAUCAUUGAGAUCACAAAUAGGGAAAAUAUUUCUAAGAGAAGGUGAUUAAACUCUCAGAUGAGUUAUCAUUGGUAGACUUUGAGUCUCCAAAAGGCUAUUAAAAACCAGAUUCCUGUGUGUCAAGGCCAGUGGAGAGGCUCCCUCUGGAAUGAAUGCCACGGAAGGAACUUGACAAUCUGUUCUCUCACACCUCCUGUGCUGGCCAGGUGUCCGCCUGAUGUGGCCCAGCAGUCAGUUCCAGGCUGGUUCCAGCAGGUGGCGGCCGCGCGCAGUGAAAGCCCGCGGGUAGAGCUCGCCAAAAUGGUUAAAAAAAGCAAGUCUACCAGGUUUGAAAGUGCACAGGGACCAGGCAGGGUGUGCAAAGUCGAGGAAGCACACCCCACGGGAGAGCCCAGGAAGCCUGCCCCAGAGAGCCUCUCACGGUCUCCACUCCCGUCCCAUCAGGGCUCCCGGGUGUUAAGAAAAAGGCACUGGGGCACUGGGAAAACCCUCCCUCCAAACAUGGCAUUAUGGCACAGUCAUUUCCAGAAAGUCCCCAGAGCCUGCACUCAGGGAACCAGAGCGGUGUGCCGAGACUCUUUCUGAUUGGCUUCUACAAACCCAAGCAUGGUGAAUAACACUUUACCAAAACUGAAGUAAAAUGAAAUCAAACAAAACACCCUCGGUGGAGAGGAACAAUGGCACAGAUAACUCAAAGGGAAGUAAAUCACUUAUAUUUGACUCUAAAGAUAACACGCACACGCGGUGUCUACCUGCUUACUGUGUUCCCAGGCCUCCUUCUGAGGAGUGCGGUCCUAGGGGCAUCAAGUCUGCUCGUGCUGUGUAGUGGGAAGUCACUGACUCUACUGCCACCCAACAGACGGGUGUUGGGGACUCAGCCAGGGGCAGCCCUAUGGUGGGCAGAGGCCCGCCUCUGCCUAUGAACUGAUCAGGUCUAACAACGUCUCUCACGAGGAUGCUCAGAUUCAGUGUGAGGACCAACCACAUCGGAUCCUCCCAUGAGCAAAGUUCACAUGUGAGAUUCAUCCAGCAAGGUGGUAGGGAGCUGCUGUCAGCCCCCGGAAGAAAGAAGGCCUGCUUUUUCUCUAGUCAUGGAGUUGUUGAGUCCUAGAGUGCCCUAGACUGCUGAGAAGGUUUUCUUUGUGUCCUUACUUCUCCAUCUAACUCAACAACAUCUUUCCAUCACCCCAAAGACCCAAGCACAUCUCUGCGCAGCCUGAAGCGGAUGAUAAACACCAGGAGACUUCCGUGCCAGGCAACCCCCACUACCUGCCAGAGGAGUCUUUCGAAUUCUGUUUUAAUUUGCAUCCCCUGAAGGAAGAGCUCGCUUGGAAAUCUAGGUGGCUGGACCCCCAGAUAUUGCAAUUGUGCUGGGUUGACAGGAUGAGAUGAGCAUGGGUCCCGCAAUGCAGGAAGAAGUACCGUCCUUUCACGGGGCUCCUGUGAGGCGGGGAGGCCCGCUGAGCUGGAAUUCAGGUCUAGUCCUUGAGAAAGGGACCUAAGCGCUCUAAGGCUCCCUUUCCUCCUUUGUAAAACAGGGCUCCUAGUACCUACCUUCAGAGGUUGUAGUAAGAAGUAAAUGAGAUCAUGGAUGCAGAGUACAUCGAAUAGCACCUGCUGGCAUAGUAAGUCCUGAAUAAACGUUGAAAUAUUGAAGACUAGAAGGGGAGGUCACUACCUUGUUCCUUUGGCUACUAGCCAAACUGGAUUAAAGCAACAAGAAGAAAAACUAUAAUAUCAAUAGAAUUUCCCUUGAGUUUUUCCAAAAUCUGUGUUUCCCAGACAUAAAAAGCAUCUAUAUACCAUGAUGAUGCUGUUGACCCUUUUCAACAGAGUUUGGGGGAUGUUUGCCCAAUCUCAACACCAGUUCAUUUGCUGUCUCUGUUUUAUGUAUCUACUCCCAGCCAGUGACAUGCGCGUACAAGUUCAUUGGCGUGUAUAGCUGUGAAACUGAAUUUUACUCUGUGUAGCGACCUGGGCUCUCCAUCUUAUUAAAAGCCAAGAGCAUAAUCCAAUAAAAAGGAGGUGAGAUUGAGCAGAAUAUGUAGCUUUUGCACCCAGUUCCGCUGCUUAGCUCCAGGGCUUGAGGACAUGCUUGAGCUUCAAUUUUAUGUGUAAAAGGAAUAAAAUUCCUA
rnacentral:lncRNA from 1 species